rnacentral:rRNA from 1 species
GAUGAACGCUGGCGGCGUGCCUAAUACAUGCAAGUCGAGCGAACAGACGAGGAGCUUGCUCCUCUGACGUUAGCGGCGGACGGGUGAGUAACACGUGGAUAACCUACCUAUAAGACUGGGAUAACUUCGGGAAACCGGAGCUAAUACCGGAUAAUAUAUUGAACCACAUGGUUCAAUAGUGAAAGACGGUUUUGCUGUCACUUAUAGAUGGAUCCGCGCCGCAUUAGCUAGUUGGUAAGGUAACGGCUUACCAAGGCGACGAUGCGUAGCCGACCUGAGAGGGUGAUCGGCCACACUGGAACUGAGACACGGUCCAGACUCCUACGGGAGGCAGCAGUAGGGAAUCUUCCGCAAUGGGCGAAAGCCUGACGGAGCAACGCCGCGUGAGUGAUGAAGGUCUUCGGAUCGUAAAACUCUGUUAUUAGAGAAGAACAAAUGUGUAAGUAACUAUGCACGUCUUGACGGUACCUAAUCAGAAAGCCACGGCUAACUACGUG